CCUACGGGUGGCAGCAGUGGGGAAUAUUGGGCAAUGGGGGCAACCCUGACCCAGCCAUGCCGCGUGAGUGAAGAAGGGCUUCGGAUCGUAAAGCUCUAUCGGACGUGACGAUGAUGACGGUAGCGUCUAAAGAAGCACCGGCUAACUACGUGCCAGCAGCCGCGGUAAUACGAAGGGUGCGAGCGUUGUUCGGAAUUACUGGGCGUAAAGGGAGCGUAGACGGCAAUGUAAGCCAGCAGUGAAAGGCCGGGGCUCAACCCCGGGACUGCCAUUAUGACUAUGUAUCUAGAGUAAAGGAGAGGAUAGCGGAAUACCUAGUGUAGAGGUGAAAUUCGUAGAUAUUGGGUAGAACACCGGUGGCGAAGGCGGCUAUCUGGACUUUGACUGACGUUGAGGCUCGAAAGCGUGGGGAUCAAACAGGAUUAGAUACCCGUGUAGUC
rnacentral:rRNA from 1 species